UACAGAGGUCUCAAGCGUUGUUCGGAUUCAUUGGGCGUAAAGGGUGCGUAGGCGGUUUGGCAAGUCUGAUGUGAAAUCUAUGGGCUCAACCCAUAGUCUGCAUCAGAAACUGCCGGGCUUGAGUAUGGGAGAGGUGAGUGGAAUUUCCGGUGUAGCGGUGAAAUGCGUAGAUAUCGGAAGGAACACCUGUGGCGAAAGCGGCUCACUGGACCAUUACUGACGCUGAUGUACGAAAGCUAGGGGAGCAAACAGG
rnacentral:rRNA from 1 species